GUGACCUCAAAUCAGGUAGGACUACCCGCUGAACUUAAGCAUAUCAAUAAGCGGAGGAAAAGAAACUAACAAGGAUUCCCCUAGUAACUGCGAGUGAAGCGGGAAAAGCUCAAAUUUAAAAUCUGGCGGUCUUAUGGCUGUCCGAGUUGUAAUCUAGAGAAGUGUUAUCCGCGCUGGACCGUGUACAAGUCUCCUGGAAUGGAGCAUCAUAGAGGGUGAGAAUCCCGUCUUUGACAUGGACUGCCAGGGCUUUGUGAUGCGCUCUCAAAGAGUCGAGUUGUUUGGGAAUGCAGCUCAAAAUGGGUGGUAAAUUCCAUCUAAAGCUAAAUAUUGGCGAGAGACCGAUAGCGAACAAGUACCGUGAGGGAAAGAUGAAAAGAACUUUGGAAAGAGAGUUAAACAGUACGUGAAAUUGCUGAAAGGGAAACGCUUGAAGUCAGUCAUGUCAUCCAGGGAUCAACCUUGCUUUUGCUUGGUGCACUUUCUGGUUUGACGGGUCAGCAUCAAUUUUGACCAUUGGAAAAAGGUUGAGGGAAUGUGGCAUCUUUGGAUGUGUUAUAGCCCUUGGUCGUAUACAAUGGUUGGUAUUGAGGAACUCAGCACGCCGCAAGGCCGGGUUUAACCACGUACGUGCUAGAUG
rnacentral:rRNA from 1 species